GCCGCCGCCGCCGCCGCCCGGCUCCGAGGGAUCCCGCCGGACCUGCCCCUUCCACUGCGGCUCACUCUGCCCUGCCUGGCGCCGGUCCUGGAUCGCCGGCUUCCUAUUUAUACCGUACUGGGCUCCUCUCGACUCACUUUACCAUCCCGUUUCAGGCUGGCGACUUCGCUGCUGAGCUGAAACUGCUAAUUUCUGUGACCAGCUUUUUUCUUAGCUGUGAUCUGGAUGAAUGAGUAGCUGUCUCACAGAGAUGACAAAAAUAAACUCUAAUCCCCCCCAAAAUUUCCACUACAUCUUUCUCAUGCAUAGAUUUAUGAUCUUCAAGCGCUCUGUGCAAUAUGCAAACUUUUUUUUGUGUCUGUAUAUAUGCUGUUGUUUCCAGAUUUCACUACACUGGUAUGCUGCUCCCCCCCCCCCCCCAUGAAAUGCAGAAAACGUCUGAUCUCAAAGUAUGCCAAGAUGCCACUUUCUAGUGUCUCGGUAUCUGGGGUUUGAGUCUAAUUUGGAAGACACUAGUCCUUGCCUAAAAGGUGAGUGGCUGAGUGUACAAACUGGGGGUGGGGGAAUUAGAGCUGGUAGAUGGAAUAGAAGACAGCCCUUCGCUUUUUAUUUGUUUCCCUGCACUAUACAAGCUUUAUGAUCUUGUUGGAAAACAUAUUUUCUCUAUCAUUUUGUCUGGUUAAACAACCAUCUCUGAACUUCUGUGUCAGCUCCUCAACAGAUAAGAGUUCAGAAGUCAUAUUUUGUUUUUAAUUGAAAGAUUAUCAUAUUGUCAGAUUUGUCUUUCAGUUAAGAGUCUUUGAAUUGCAGGAGCUAGAAUCAAGUGCUGGGAAACCCAGCUGCAAUUUCACAGAUGUAACCUUUAAACUUUAGACCUCAUCUGAUACAUAAGGAUGACCACAUAAAGCUCACAUUUUGGCCCUGCUUCACAUGCAAAAUGAACCCCAAAAUGAUUCUGGAAUUUUCACUGUGCCAGAGAUUCAUGUGCAUUUUGGUAGAGGACAUGUUCUCUAGACUUAUCUCAUGAUAUAUUGUGCCCUUACAUUUAUAGCCCUGCAUUUUGGUUGUCAAUGGGGGUUGGAGGUGUCCCAGAAAGGAAGAAAGCAAAAAAAAAAAAAAAAAAGCAAAAAAAAAAAAAAAAAAAAAAAAAGGCAUGCCCUUGAAUAGAAGGAGCAUGAAAGAAAGCUGGACAUGAGUUAAACUGAGUUUUCUUUGCUAUCAAAUAUAUGAAUAUGAUUCAUUCUAAUUUAUAUAUGCUCUGAUUAGUAAACUUAUUAAAAUACACAUCAGGGCACCACUGAAAAAGGCUGUCUUCCCACUUUCCCUUUUGAUUUGUGAGAUAUGGAAAGACACCUGCUUAAGAGAGGGGGGAAAACUGAAAAUUCUUUGGUUUAGAAAUAGGGAAUUCCCCAUUUAGAAUAAUAAACAUUAACAUGCAUGUGGGAUAUUUGCUCUUAAAUAAAUGAAGAAGGAUCAAACUGAAGCAUUUACUCCUCACAACGGUCCUUCUCUAUCAAGGUCCUAGGUUAUCUGAGAGUAAGAUACUUUAUUCAGAUCUUGUUGAGAUGCUGUAUUUCAGCUUUCAUAUUUAUAAUAAAAAGCUCAAAUAUAUGGUAAAAUAAUAGAAAAGGAUUUUUUGUUUUGUUUUGAGCAAGGAAAAGAAAGAGAACAGAUUCUUCAAAUCUUCUGGCCCUACUAUUUGUUUUGAAUGUUCCCUUUUUUGAAUUUCCCUUAGUUAGGUCUUGGACAGGAAGAUUGUGUAAUUGUGAUACAGUGUCUUUUGGGGGGGUUCUGUGCAUUAGCAAUUAAAGCUAUCAUGUCUGUGCAGUAUCACCAAAUUCUCAUACAUUGAAAGUAUAAUUUGUAUUGUCUGCUUUUGAUGUUCAGCUCUUAUGAGCUUCCAAUGAAGUAUUUGGAAAUAAAUCCAAACAUGAGUAAGAGUA